UUUAAAAAAUAUGUUGAGCCAUUUUUAUGGUUUUGUGAUAUUUGACUUUCUGUUUGGGCCUUGGUCAUGAUUAAUUUGACUUUUGUUUGAUAAAUAACAUUGGAUUUAGGGGAUUGAUGAAAUAUAUAUUUCAUCUUCCAAAACAAAUGGAUAGUAUGGAUCAGAUGAAAUUCCUCAUGUGAUCAAUUUGAGUUUCUAUUUCCCGUUCCCU
rnacentral:lncRNA from 1 species